rnacentral:rRNA from 1 species
UAUCGCGACGAGUUUGAUCAGUGGCUACAGGACGAACGCUGGCGGCGUGCCUAACACAUGCAAGUCGAACGGAGUUGUUCCUUCGGGGACAACUUAGUGGCGAACGGGUGAGUAACGCGUGAGAAACCUGCCUUUCAUGGGGGGACAACAGUUGGAAACGACUGCUAAUACCGCAUAAUGUUAUUUGGGGGCAUCCUCGAAUAACCAAAGAUUUAUUGCUGAAAGAUGGUCUCGCGUCUGAUUAGCUAGAUGGCGGGGUAACGGCCCACCAUGGCGACGAUCAGUAGCCGGUCUGAGAGGAUGAACGGCCACAUUGGGACUGAGACACGGCCCAGACUCCUACGGGAGGCAGCAGUGGGGGAUAUUGCACAAUGGAGGAAACUCUGAUGCAGCAACGCCGCGUGAGGGAAGAAGGUUUUCGGAUUGUAAACCUCUGUUUUAGUGAAGAAACAAAUGACGGUAGCUAAAGAGGAAGCCACGGCUAACUACGUG